rfam:Candidatus Kaiserbacteria bacterium RIFOXYB1_FTLL_46_14 rifoxyb1_full_scaffold_1999, whole genome shotgun sequence.
CUACCUGCAGUUAGACGAAAAGACCCCAGGAGCUUUACUGUAGCUUCUUAUUGGGGCUGUUUGAUUUAUGCGUAGCAUAGGUGGGAGACUUUGAAGCGUUCCUCUCGGGGAACGUGGAGUCGCCAGUGAAAUACCACUCUUAAAUUGGGCAGUUUCUAACCCGGCGCGACAAACGCGUCGGGGACAGUGAGUGGCAGGCAGUUUUAGUGGGGCGCUACCCUCCCAAAAAGUAACGGAGGGGUCUCAAGGUCAACUAGGCGCGAAUGGAAACCGUGCCGAUAGUGCAAUGGCAAAAGUUGGCUUGACUGUAAGGCGUAGAUGCCGAACAGACACGAAAGUGGAGCAUAGUGAACCGAUGGUUGGCGUUAGAUGCCGCCGGAGAUUACCCGAUAAAAGUUACCCUGGGGAUAACAGGCUAGUCGUGCCCAAGCGUCCAAAGCGACGGCACGGUUCGGCACCUCGAUGUCGGCUCAUCUUAUCCUGGCGCUGGAGCAGGUGCCAAGGGUUUGGCUGUUCGCCAAUUAAAAAGAUACGCGAGCUGGGUUUAGACCGUCGAGCAACGAAGUUGCUCGACGUCUACCAAGAUUCGAUGAGAAUUAAGAUUAAGACGUCGGUCAUUUAGUGAUUCGACAGUCUAAAUCCCUUUGAGGAAUUGUUAUAAAAUAUUUUGUCUUUGAACAAAGAAAGGAACCAACCAAAAUCACGGCGGUCAUAUAUAGGAAUAUAUAUGAUCAAACUAACUGAUAUCGGUAAAACCCGACCGCGUAAGCGAGGGUGAUACCGAGGGAACUAUCAUAUUUAUAUAUGAAAGGCCCGUAGAGACUGAACGUUAGUCAUCGAGAACCGAUGAAGCUACAGUCCGAUCCUCCGAGUAAUCGGAGUAAACGAAAUGCGUGAGACAGGUUGGUCUCCUAUCUACUGCAGGCGUCGAUUUUUGAAGAGAUUUGUCCCUAGUACGAGAGGACCGGGAUGAACUGACCUCUGGUCUACCGGCUGUCGCGCCAGCGGCACCGCCGGGUAGCUAUGUUGGGAAUGGAUAACCGCUGAAAGCAUCUAAGCGGGAAGCCAACUCUAAGAUUAGAAAUCAUUAAGUCCCCUGAGAGAUGAUCAGGUUGAUAGGCUUUAGGUGUAAGCGCAGUAAUGCGUUGAGCCGUGAAGUACUAAUAGGACGUAUUUCCUGCAAGG